rnacentral:lncRNA from 10 species
AAGCGCAGUAAGAGGUGGCCACGCGUCCUGGCCCUGUGCCCUUCCUUACAUUUCUCGCUCUGCCGGGCGCGCCAUGCCUGCAAACACAGGGUGUCAAUGGCCCCGGGAGGCUGGAAUGUGGGGUGUGCAGAAUCCCAUCCAGCGCAGUCUAGGGCAGGACCCAAGGGACACCCUGUGGGCAACCCCCACUCUGGGUUGGUCCCCUCCAAGUUCCUCUGCCCGCUCUCUGAUCUCACCCAGAUCGGCCCCCUCUCCCUCAGAGAGCGGCCCCUGGGCUUCAGGCACUUUUCUAGGCCCUGGCGGCACAGUCGUCCCGGGACGCUGUCUGGAAGGCAGGGACAGUAGUGUCCCCUCAGCGCCUCCUACCUGCCACCACUUCCACCUAUGCCAGGAGCCCCAGACCCGCCUCCAGACCCGCACCCGCCGAGUUCGGUGCGGAAGAGGCUGUAGGCGCCCGGGGCCCUGCCCUCGGAAGCAGGGGUCGCAGAGGGGCUCCGGCCUUGAGGAAGAUGGCUGAGGUCAGCGAGGCUGGGUUGUUUCCCUGUCCACAGCGCAUUAGGGACCAGAAAAGAAUGUUGGCGUCUCUGAGGUGAGCUGCUGUCACCUCAGGGUCCCGGGCUGGGGGUGACAAG